GCUCCCAUAGCUCAACGGAUAGAGCACGCGCCUUCUAAGCGUGGGAUCCAGGUUCGAUUCCUGGUGGGAGCA
rnacentral:tRNA from 1 species